AUAGUCCUACGGGACGCAGCAGUGGGGAAUAUUGCACAAUGGGGGAAACCCUGAUGCAGCGACGCCGCGUGGGCGAGGAAGUACCUCGGUAUGUAAAGCCCUAUCAGCAGGGAAGAAACAGGACAGUACCUGACUAAGAAGCCCCGGCUAACUACGUGCCAGCAGCCGCGGUAAUACGUAGGGGGCAAGCGUUAUCCGGAUUCACUGGGCGUAAAGGGAGCGUAGACGGCUGUGCAAGUCUGGAGUGAAAGGCGGGGGCCCAACCCCCGGACUGCUCUGGAAACUGUAUGGCUGGAGUGCAGGAG
rnacentral:rRNA from 1 species